rnacentral:rRNA from 1 species
AUGAUGAGGUUAGUAAAAAAAACUUCAAUCAUUCUAGAAAAAAUAGCACAAUACCGUGUCAUCGAUAAAGUCAGCCCAGUAACGAGCCACAACACGCUCGGAGUGGUCGUCGGGAAGGAGGGAGGGGCUGGCGCCAGCGAAGGCCUCGUCGAUGUACUGUAUUAUGCUCAACGACGUCCCACGGAUAGGCUUGCCGCCAUGGAUCAGCACCGGCAGCUUACUGUUGAGGAGCAGCUGCUCGCUCUUGUUGUUCUUGAGGCCUUGCUCCCCCUCCAUCUCCACGAACUCGUAGCUCAGGCCCUUAAGGCGGAGCGCGAGCUGCACUCGCAGGACGUGAGGGCUCGCCCACAUGCCAACCAGCGUCAGGUUGUCUCCUCCGGCCAUUUCAAUCAACUCAAACUUUGCACGUACGCUGGCUAG